rnacentral:lncRNA from 1 species
CCUCAGAGCCGCAGAGGGAACCGCCACCACCGGAUCCAUCGGCGCUGCCCAACGGGACGGAGGUGGGAGCUCGCCGUGGGGCGCCCCACGGAAGUGUGGGGUGUGCACACCGUGACCCCAUAUCCCCUCCACAGCCCCCGGGAGCCGGGCUGACCGAGCAGCCCAUCGAGGUGCAGCUGCAGCGGGAGCUGGAGCAGCUGAGCGCCGAGCUGGACCAGGAGCUGCGCGCCAUGGAGACGCGGCCACAGCGGGUACCGGGCGGGGGGCAGCGCCGGGGGGGGG